rnacentral:rRNA from 1 species
AGUGAACGCUGGCGGUAGGCCUAACACAUGCAAGUCGAACGGCAGCACAGUAAGAGCUUGCUCUUACGGGUGGCGAGUGGCGGACGGGUGAGGAAUACAUCGGAAUCUACUUUUUCGGGGGGGAUAACGUAGGGAAACUUACGCUAAUACCGCAUACGCCCUACGGGUGAAAGCAGGGGAUCUUCGGACCUUGCGCGAAUGAAUGAGCCGCUGUCGGAUUAGCUAGUUGGCGGGGUAAAGGCCCACCAAGGCGACGAUCCGUAGCUGGUCUGAGAGGAUGAUCAGCCACACGGGAACUGAGACACGGUCCAGACUCCUACGGGAGGCCGCAGUGGGGAAUAUUGGACAAUGGGCGCAAGCCUGAUCCAGCCAUACCGCGUGGGUGAAGAAGGCCUUCGGGUUGUAAAGCCCUUUUGUUGGGAAAGAAAAGCAGCAGGUUAAUACCCCGCUGUUCUGACGGUACCCAAAGAAUAAGCACCGGCUAACUUCGUG